UUUCAGUUACAAUAACAUAAAGCAAAUUUAGAUAGAAAUGUUUACAUAAGUGCUGUCAAACUUCAAAUUAAAUGUCAUUUUAAAAGUGUCAUUAAAUAAAAUAUAGUUUACAGUUACCAUUAAUAACUAUUUAAGAAGUAAAAUUAGCUCAUGUGACAGUAUUCAAGCAAGGUUAUUUAUUAAAGAAUACAGAACAAACCACACUACAAACUAGACAAGAUUAGAUUUCAUAGCUCCUAUUUUCUAAGGCUUAACCCCCAAAUUUUAGGUUAUCUGACAGGAUGCUGUUUCAGAUAGAGAGAUACAAACUCUUCAUGCUGUAUGUUUUUCUCAACAAACUAUAUACUUGUCUGGCAGCACAGUACAAAUGACAUUAAUUUCCCAAACUUCCAAGGAAUAUAGAAAGACAAGAAAGAAAAAAACUAUGGGUCAUUCACUGAUUCUAGUCAUGUGAAUUACUUUUAAUUUGCAAAACUGGAUUAUUGCUUUGGCCUCUUACGUAGGUUUCUAAAUCAGUCUUCUUACAUUAACAAUGAGUAAUUUGUUGUUCCUCAAAGUAAUGAAAGACUUCAGUGUAUUGCUUAUAACUUGCUUAUCAAGAAAUUGUCCAAGUCACUCAGAAAAGUUAAAAAGUUGACCAACAGUUCAUGACAUACAUAGCCACUGAAAUGAAAAUAGGACAAUUUUUCCCUUUCAUACUUGGAUUUGUAUCUGGUCUCUAUCUCCCUAUGCUUGCCAUGCAUACAACUCUAUAGAUUAAAUUAUUCUGUGAACAAAAAUAUGGGUGAGGAUAUAGGCCAAUGUUAGGACGAAGAGCACUUCUAAACUGUAAUGCCAUAUAACCCUAUUGAACUGGCCCUACAUUUUGUGAAAAAAAAAAAAAUUUACACAUGACAAUAAAAUUAGAUGAUUUCUUAUCUGAAGUGAAAAUCAACCCAGAUAAAUUAUGACUGUAAAGGCUUUUAUUUUUAAACAGCUACUCAGCAAUUAAUGGAGUUAUAGUUAUUGCAGAGAGAAUAGUACAUAAUCUGAACUUUGCAUAUGGCAAAAUAAUUUGGAAAUAUUUUACCCACUUUUACUAGGCCAUAAAUACCAUAGCAUCUGAUUUUUGAUAAGUGAGCCAGCUUUUUAGAAAGGUUAUCAGUGCUCAAAAAGAUGUGGUAGAGAUUUGAACUACUGUAAUUUGCUUAUCAGUGCUGGGAUCAAAUGCAGCACCUUCCAUAGGUCAGUGCUCUACCAUGGGCUACAGUCCCAGUCCUCAUAAUGUUUUAAAUGUGAAUGCUUUGAAUAUUGUGAACCU
rnacentral:lncRNA from 1 species